rnacentral:rRNA from 1 species
UACGGGGGGGGGCAAGCGUUGUUCGGAAUUACUGGGCGUAAAGAGCGCGUAGGCGGUCUGUUAAGUGUGAAGUGAAAUCUCCAGGGCUCAACCCGGAAACUGCUUCGCAUACUGGCAGACUUGAGGAAUGCAGAGGUUUGUGGAAUUCCUGGUGUAGCGGUGAAAUGCGCAGAUAUCAGGAAGAACACCCGUGGCGAAGGCGGCUCUCUGGGACGGUACUGACGCUGAGACGCGAAAGCGUGGGAGCAAACAGG